rnacentral:misc_RNA from 1 species
GGUAAACCAAUUAUAUAUUAUAUUCGUUUUGUGAAUGAACGAAAACAAUAAGCAUACGCUCACUGCGUGUAAAUAGAGUUGUUCACUCUUUUUUAAUAAUGUUACAUGCGGGGAGAAAAUGUGAAGUAAAAGAGUAACAACAUUCUUCUAUCCCUCUAAUUUCUUUGCAAUUUUUCAAUCGCAAUCUGGAAUUACACUAUUUUUAGGUGAACCAACAGCAUCUAAUUGGGGCGGAGGAAGGCAUCAGCGAGCAUCUGUCCAAGCUGAAUUUGUGCAGCAGUAGUAAGGUGCGUGUAAUCUGGUCCGAUCUGCAGGCCUUUGGCAUCCACAUAUUUCAAAUUCCCAAUAUUUAUCUCACGCUGAGCUUCCCUCACCAGCUCCAUGUAUGGCCCUAGUGCUGUUGCAAUUCCCACCUGAAUCACAGUUAAGUUAGGCAUUCCCAGAUCGUGGCGCACAUGGUUGAAGAAUCUCUCCAAUCUGACCUUAUACAUUUUGGCAUCUUCAAGUGUCUUUGUAUCACUCUCACCUUGGAACCACAACAAUGCCCUGAUCUUUCCGCCGCCUCGAGUGGCCGCUUUUGUCCUCUUUAUCAUACUCCUGUAAAGGAAGCCGCCUGGAGCCCAUUCAGUAAUACUCGUUCCUCCAACAGCACAAGGAACCAACCCAAUUACUCCAAUACUUGGAUCUUUUUUCAAAACAGUAUUGGCAAAUGGCAUCCCUGGACCAAUCCCACAAGUGUUGUUCACAUCUAUGUCCUUAUGAAGGGGUUCAUGAGCCUCAACCCAUUUAAGUCCUCCACUUAGUCGGAGGAUUGAUGGGUUGGACUCGCACUCACGUGGGAUGACACCAUCCCAUGACUCAUUAACUACUCCGGGACGGAGUGAGUGAUUAAUCACUCCGCCUCGACCGGAAAUGUUGCUCUGCCCUGCUAAAAUGAAUAUGUUUUUAACUAGUGAAUAAUUUCCUAGAUCUGCUGUCGUUACCCAACCAGCGUGUGCUAAAAUCAGCAAUAACAGAUAAGGAUGCAUUGUUGGGUUCGAAGUAUGAAUUGGGAUCACUGUUAGACUUGGAUACCUUGGCUGUAGCUAAUACCGUGCUCUUUUGUUUGCUUUCAAAAUACUAGCUAGUGGAAACUAUGGAGUUCUUGUACUUAUGUUUAUUACAUUGUAGUUUUUGCUUGACUUAAUUGCAGUUCCGAACUUAAUUGUUCGGUCCUAAUGAUUAUACUUAACUGUUAAGGGAGGAAAUGAAAAAAG